GUUUAAUUUCGAUGCAACGCGAAAAACCUUACCACUUCUUGACAUGGAGGCUAGAUCCUUCUUAACAGAAGGGCGCAGUUCGGCUGGGCCUCGCACAGGUGCUGCAUGGCUGUCGUCAGCUCGUGUCGUGAGAUGUUGGGUUAAGUCCCGCAACGAGCGCAACCCUCAUCCUUAGUUACCAGCGGGUAAUGCCGGGCACUUUAAGGAAACUGCCAGUGAUAAACUGGAGGAAGGUGGGGAUGAUGUCAAGUCAGCACGGCCCUUAUGGGGUGGGCUACACACGUGCUACAAUGGCGACUACAAUAGGUUGCAACGUCGCAAGGCUGAAGCUAAUCCGUAAAAGUCGUCUCAGUUCGGAUUGUCCUCUGUAACUCGAGGGCAUGAAGUCGGAAUCGCUAGUAAUCGUGGAUCAGCAUGCC
rnacentral:rRNA from 1 species